CUUUGUGUGAGUGUAAAUAGAAUGUAUAAUUUAUUUCCAUCUAAAGAUUCUAUUGAUGUCUAUAGUAUUUAGGUAAUCAUGAAUACAUGCAUGUCAUGUACAACUGGAAACAUUGUAAUAAUCAUUGCAACAUGUACAACAUUCUAACAAGGUUCACUGAUUGACUGAGAGAAACAGUCGAAGAAAGGCAACAUUUCAUUCCAGUCAAAUAUCAAUUCAUAUCUAUCAUAUUAUGGACUUUUCGAAAGAAAAAAUAUUUAAAAGCUGAGACAAUGUUCCAUCGUGUUCAUUGAAUCAAAGCCACGAAUUCUUCGAAGCUAAUUACACCGUCGCCAUUUUUAUCUGCU